GAUAAGAUUGAAGUGGGGAUAAUGUGUAGUAUAUAUAUAUAUAUGUAUAUAUGCAUAAGUGGAGGAGAGGCCAAGUUGCAGUUAAAAUUUGAUUUGAUCCUCAGUUUAAGCCAUGGCCGAGAGAGCCGAGACUGAGAGAUCGGAAGAGAGAUCGAGAAAGAGGGGCCGUGCUGGCUAGAUUUGCAAUGGCGAUGGAUUUGGCAGCCAUGGCAGCUCGUCAGAGAGCUGGUUGCGGAGGCAGGAGGCGCUGCGAGCAGCAGCAGCGGCCGAUGGUGGUUGCCGGUGGCACGGCGAGGCCGACAGAGGCCGUCGGGGAGAUGACAUGCAAAGCGAGUAGUACCCAUGGCAGCUCACAGCAACAGCAAGCACAGCGAGGAGGCUGCCGGCAUGGGUGGAAGCGGCCAUGGCAGCCACGGCUGUUGCAGCUGGGCGACUGCGUGCAGGCUGCGGGCGGGAGGCGGUGGCUAUUGGGGCGGCGCUGUGCGGUCGUUCGAUUGUCGGUGAGGCGAGGGGCGACCGGAGGUGGCCGGCUAUGGGGGAGCAGGCUGCUGGGCAUGCGCGCAGGCACUGGUUCGCGCACAGGGGAGAUGCUAGAGGAAGAAGAAGUGAAUAGGAAGAGGAAGAAAAAGAAAAGAAAAAAACAAAUUAAGAAAAAUGUGAAAAAAAUUCUAGAAUAAUAGGAAACUAUGUUUUGGUAAUAUUUUGGAGAAUUUGGUAAGAAAAAUUGUUCGGGCUGGCGUUUCAAGGUCAGGGCACGUAUACCGAGGAUGUCUGAGAGGCUAAGUUAAGGAUACUUUGAGAUUUAAGUUGAAGUGACUUAUGCAAAUUUUGAGGUUGGCACGCAAAUCGAGGCGAUCCACAUAUUUCGAGGCAAGAUGCGAAUAUCAAGGUAGCUCGAUAAGUUUGAGAAGGUAAAGGCAAUGACUUAUUCGUGAGAGAGUCUAGUGGUUCCCAACUUCCGGGUUAGACGAUGUACAGGGCCAUGCAAAACCUAGCAGUUGUUAGCCUGGGGGUUCUUUUUUAUGCAUUUUGUCGCUUUCAGAUUGUAUUUUGAUUCAGUUUAUUUGGGUCUGUAUGGAUUAUGAUUUAUUUGUUGCCGGUGUGUCAGUGAUGUAUGUUAUGCAUGCCUAGGCUAUGUAGGCUAAGAGAUCAGUUGUUGUAAAGCAGGUUGAGGUUUUGAUAUUCAUGCUGAGAUGACAAGUUUCCUUUAUCAAGUAUUUUUUUGGUAUGCAUUAGUUGCAUGCAUGACAGGUUCAUCCAGGUCCAGGUUGCCUCUAUUUUAGUAGGGCACUCGCUUUGUUUCUUUGGGGACUUGGGAGGAGGCCUUACAAUCAAAGCA